UACGUAGGGGGCAAGCGUUGUCCGGAUUUAUUGGGCGUAAAGAACGUGUAGGCGGCCAUGCAGGUCAGCUGUGAAAACUCGAGGCUCAACCUCGAGACGUCGGUUGAAACCGUAUGGCUAGAGUCCGGAAGAGGAGAGUGGAAUUCCCGGUGUAGCGGUGAAAUGCGCAGAUAUCGGGAAGAACACCCGUGGCGAAGGCGGCUCUCUGGGACGGUACUGACGCUGAGACGCGAAAGCGUGGGGAGCGAACAGG
rnacentral:rRNA from 1 species